rnacentral:snRNA from 1 species
UGUCCUCCAUCGGAGGUCUAUAUUGAGCAGAUUCUAUCUGGUGUUGGGUGGUGGAACCGGAGCUUGCUCCAUCCACUGCAUGCAUUGACCUGGUAUUGCAGUGCUUCCAGGACUGGUGC